rnacentral:rRNA from 1 species
ACAGCAGUCGCCACGGUAAUACAGAGGGUGCGAGCGUUAAUCGGAUUUACUGGGCGUAAAGCGUGCGUAGGCGGCUUCUUAAGUCGGAUGUGAAAUCCCUGAGCUUAACUUAGGAAUUGCAUUCGAUACUGGGAAGCUAGAGUAUGGGAGAGGAUGGUAGAAUUCCAGGUGUAGCGGUGAAAUGCGUAGGGAUCUGGAGGAAUACCGAUGGCGAAGGCAGCCAUCUGGCCUAAUACUGACGCUGAGGUACGAAAGCAUGGGGAGCAAACAGGAUUAGAUACCCCUGUAGUCCCUGUCUCUUAUAC